CACCAACCUCAACAUCUGCAGUAGGGAUGAGGCCCACUACCACGUCACAGACAGCCCUCACUGGGGACAGUUGCUCCAAGCCACUCAGCCAGCCACAGCCUUCUCUCAGCAGGACCUGCUGGUUGGGGCUGUUUUCUAUGGCCACAAUGGCAGCCUCAGCUCCCGCAACACCCUGGCCUUCUCAAUGGAUGUGGGACCAGUGCACACAGAUGCCACCCUACAAGUGACCAUUGCCCUAGAGGGCCCAGUAGCCCCACUGAAGCUGGCCCAGCACAAGGAGAUCUACAUCUUCCAGGGAGAGGCAGCUGAGAUCAGAAGGGACCAGCUGGAGGUAGCCCAGGAGGCAGUGCCGCCAGCAGACAUCGUUUUCUCAGUGAAGAGCCCACCGAGUGCCGGCUACCUGGUGAUGGUGCUGCGUGGCAUCUUGGCAGAUGAGCCACCCAGCCUGGACCCCGUGCAGAGCUUCUCCCAAGAGGCAGUGGACACAGGCAGGAUCCUCUACCUGCACUCCCGCCCUGAGGCCCGGAGCCAUGCCUUCUCGCUGGAUGUGGCCUCGGCCUGGGUGCUCCCCUUGAGGACGUCACGUGGAGCUGGAGGUGCUGCCUGCUGUCAUCCCCACUGGGGGCACAAAACUUCAGCAGUAGAGGGGGCACAGUCGCAGCUGCACCCUGGCCCCUCCACUGCUCCGCGUUGCCAGGUCCUACUUCCCCACUCUCCCGGGCCUUGGCCUGCAGGUGCUGGAGCCACCCCGGCAUGGGGCCCUGCAGAAGGAGGAUGGGCCUCAAGCCAGGACCCUCAGCACCUUCUGCUGGAGAGAGGUGGAAGAGCAUCUGAUCCAGUACCUGCACGAUGGGAGCAAGACACUGACGGUUUUGUCCUGAUGGCUAAUGCCUCUGAGAUGGACCGCCAGAGCCAUCCUGUGGCCUUCACUGUCACCAUCCUGCCUGUCAAUGGCCAACCCCCGACCUCAUACAAACUCAGGCCUGCAGAGUCCGUCCAGCCACUCAGCAGCCAGAGCCUCAGAGCCAGCAGGCACCGACCCCCAGCUCCUGCUCUACCAUGUGGUGCGGGGCCUCCAGCUAGGCCGGCUCUUCCACGCCCAGCAUGACAGCACAGGGGAGGACCUGGUGAACUUCACUCAGGGAGAGACCCCGGAGUUCAUCAUCUCGGAGCCGCUGGCCAAUAUGUACUCAUGUGGGAACCAGAACACACUGAUGGAGGAGUUGGCAGAGCAGGCACAGCAGCACGACGAGAUGCUGCACAUGCACCACGCGCUGAAGGAGGCGCUCAGCAUCAUCGGUGACAUCAACAGGACCACUGUCACCAUGCCCAUGCCCCCGCCCGUGGACGACACCUGGUUGCAGGUGCAGAGCAUCCCUGACGCACACAGCCCAGUCCCGGGGGCGCCUACUUCAGGUCUGAGAGUCUGAACUCCGAGAUGCUCUGGGUGUGUGGAUUUCCUUCAGCUACCCUGAUGUCCCCAAUUCCAAGUCCUGACUCCUUUGAGCCAUCCCAGGGGGUGUCCGGCCACUGGACCACAGGAGCAGAGAAUCACUAUCAGUGGCCCCUGAGGAGCAUCAGCCAUGGUACCAUCACAGCUGCUAGCGUGUGACUGAAGGCUGGGUCCCUGGCCAGCGCUACUGAAGCACUACUGCCAGCCAGCAGACUCACGGACCUUGGCCUGUUGCUCCUAGGGGUCACCUGUGCUAUUCAGCCAAGGAGACCACAGUGCUUGCUGGCCCAGCUGAGCUCCGCCUAGCGAGCCCACCUGCCUUUCCUGCCACGGAGUCUCCCUCUUCUGCUUUUCCCAGCAGGAAGGGCCCAGCCUCACCUAUGCAACCUGCAGCCCCCCGCCAACCAGUUGAGGCUCCCCUCUUAGACUUAUAAGUCUACGGGCAGUGGCAUCUAGCUACCUGCCCUCCCUGCCUUCCCCAGGGUCCCUUCAGUGGACCCUGGGCUUUCUGACUGCCCAGAGAGGGGCCUCUGGCGCUCACUCCAGCCCGCCAUCCCUUAUAGCUUCACCAUUUUGGUUCAAGCAGUGUUCCUUCUGUCAGGCUUGGUGGCUGUUGGGUGGGGCUCCCCAAGCAAGAGGUGGCCCUGGGCCAGUGGGUUGGAAGAUGGGGUGACCACAGAAGAGGGAAGCCGGGGGGGUUGAGCAUUGGUCUGAACUGUGGGUGGACUGCCUGGGUGCCAUGAGAGAGGCCAGUGUGUGUGGGGUGGGGAGGGCUGCCACAGCCCCCAGGCACUACCUAUGAAGCUCUAGCUUCUCCCUCCAUCUUCCUCCCCUUUCCCUUCCAGCCCCUCUUUUCCAGGAACCUUGCCACGCCCACACCUACGCCUUCCCCUUCCCGGCUCUCAGAUGAUGGUGGUGUUUAUCUCCCUGUUCUCGGGAGCCCAAAAAGAAUGGCAUGCAGGGGUUGCUGCCCAUGCCUGGGUGCUCCUGGGGAGUCCUGCAUUACAGGAAGCAGCUGCUGGAUCUGCUGUGCAGUGGGGUUGUCGUGGGGAGAACCCUCCCUGUCCUCUCCUGGUGCAGCCUCCACGCUAUCAGUGAGGCUCACCUCACAAAGAUCUUCAGAGAGAGGGAGGGGGGUGGGAAUCUGAGCACAGUGCGAGCCUCCCCUGCUCCUGCCUGCCCACCCCACCUGAGGGCUCUACUCACCACCCUGCUCGUCAGCACACCCAAGCUCCUGGGCUACUGGGGCUCCUAGAGUGGGCUCAUCAGCAGGGUUCUGGGCAAUGGUCAAAAUUUGCCAUGCCCCUCCUUGUGGUCGCCCACAAGCUGCAACACCUGCCCCGCAGCUCCUGCAGGUUCACCUGGAGGAAAGGGGUGUUAGCUGCCAUGCCGGUGCCGGCACGCACGUUCACCCCCACCUCCACCCCCACCCCCACCGAGAUGUUGCACACCCUACCUUCAUCUCCUCCUGGUCCUGGGCCAGCCUGACGAUGUCCUCCUCUCCCAGUGCUGCGUCUCUGACACUGCCCCCUGGCUGAUGUACUUUCCUGCAGGAGGACAUGGCUCAGAUGCUGGGGCCCCUCGGAUGGCCUGGCAGCUCCCCCCAGCGGUGCCCUAGCCUCUCGCUCACUAUGGUGUCUGUCUGUCCUGAGAGGUGGAUGAAUUGAAGCUCUAGUUUCUCUACCCGCUCCUUCAGGUCCACCUUCUCCUUCCAUAAAGUCGCUGUGGAGCCAAAAUAAUGGGGUCACAUGUCAGGAGUCACCUGCCUUGUCCUGCCCCACCGCCCCCCUUGUUGGCCCAUGCCAGGACCUACUCACCUGCAGCUUCUCCAUGGCCCCCUGCAGGGCCCGGUGGGUCUCCCCAAACACAGACUCACCCCCACUCUCUGGGGCUGGGGCCGCUACCUCUGGCUUCUUCUGGGACGAGGCCACUGGGUGAGCCAGGGGCUGGCAGCACACCCUUUGUUCCUCCUGGGCACUGGCUCCAGCGGAGUUGAAAAAUGCCACCUGAAGACAAGAGGUGAGUAUUCUUGUAGGGGUAUACACAUAACAACUGGGGCAGGCAGAUGGAGCAUAGCCCCUUCCUUUCGGGCCUCACAGAGUGCACCUGUUGGUCACAGGUGAAAUGGUGUCUGACCACUGGCUCCCAGGAGGAGUGAAAGUCCACAGAAGUCAGAAGGCGGGGAAACCAAGAACAUAAGGGGGUUUCGGAGGGACCACAGAGGAAGGUGGCAAAGUAGGGGCAGGGAAAGUCAGGCUCACCAUGGCCUCCCGGCUCUCCAGGUCCCCUGGGAUGUUCGGCAUGGGCCGAGGCGCCUCCUGCUCACUGUCCAGAUGUCCUCCUCCAUCUCCUGUGGGGGGUGGCCAGAGGGGUCCUCAGACAACCCAACAAGGGAGGUACAGUGGGCCCGCCUCUGCCCCCACACUCACUGUGUAACCUUGAGCCAGCCCCUCCCCAGAGGGGAAUGAGCUGUUCUUUAUUUUGAAUUUUAAGAACCAAGAUCUUGCUAUAUUGCCCAGGCACAGUCCCACUACCGAUUGGCGCAGGAAUUCUGACCUGCUCCCCUUCUGACCUGAGCCAGUUCUCCCAUCCUUAGGCAACCCGAUGGCCCCCUGUUCCCAGGAGGUCACCAUACUGAUACUGAACUUAGUGCGGACACCUUGUCGGCAUAAUGACCGACACAAAAUGCUUAAAAGGUAACCUGACUCUUUGUUCAGGGCUCAGUCCUUUAGAUGUUAAUCUGACUGGGCCGGUGCACCUAAUAAUAUAUAUCCUCCUCAGUCUCUCUGAUUCCUAAAUUAUGCUGCUGUACGGGGAGAGAGGCAGCAGGGUAGUGGAGUCAUACCAAGCAACAAGACAGGGUAGUGGCCAGGCAUGGUGGCUCACACCUGUAAUCCCAGCAAUUUGGGAGGCCAAGGCGGGUGGAUCACCUGAGGUCAGGAGUUCGAGACCAGCCUGGCCAACAUGAUGAAACCCCAUCUCUACUAAAAACACAAAAAUUAGCUGGGCAUGGUGGCAGGUGCCUGUAAUCCCAGCUACUCAGGAGGCUGAGGCAGGAGAAUUGCUUGAACCCAGGAGAUGGAGGUUGCAGUAAGCCAAGAUUGUGCCAUUGCACUCCAGCCAGGGGGACAAGAGGGAGACUUCACCUCGAAAGACAGACAGACAGGCUAGUACGUUUUCCACAAAUUUCAAUUUUACUCUCUUCCCCCACCACACACACACACAAAGCAUUUGAGGGAUGGGAGGAAGAAACUGAGAUCACAGGAAAAAUUGUAAGAGACAUUCAGAAGGACAGGUCUUAGAAAUUUACUAGUUUUGGGGGGAGGUCAGAACAGGUGUAUAUAAAAGAAUAUUAAGACAGUUCCCAGGUUUAGGCAUAUGUGACUAGAUAGAGUGCUAGGAGAUGGAUACGUGAAAAUUUAAAUAUCAUCAUUUUGAACACCCAUGUCACUCCAAGUGAGAUUCCCUAAAUAUAUGAUAUACAGACAGAUAUAUGGGUUUGAAACUCUGGAGAUGAAUACAAAUUUAGGAGUCCCUGGAACACAGGUCAUGACUUAAGUAAUGGGAGUCAAAGAUUACUCAGAGAAAGCACAGAAUGAGAAGAGAAGAAGUAGGACAAGGAAGAAGAGAUCGGAGGAGACCAAGAAAGGGUGAUAAGAUCAAAACAGGAGAAAAGAAUCCGACAGAAGUCUCAUUUGAUUAUCAUGUCCCUUCCCAGAGGACAGGGACAUGUCUUUUUUGUCUUUUAUACCCAAUUAUCACAGGUCCUGGUGCAGCAGACACACAGUUUUUUUUUUUUUAAUUGUGUUGUACUAUUCACAGUUUCCUGUAUUCACCAGGGGAGAAAAAAGUAAGUAUAAAGCAGCACAGACACAGAUGUUUUUACACUGUGUACUAAAGGGGUCAGAUUAUACACAAUAUUUUAUGCCUUACUUUUUUACUUAAUAUAUCUUAGAAGUUUGCACGUGCUCUUAUGGAAAGACUGGCUGCAUUUUUUGGUCCACAACAGAACAACAGAAUAUUCUAUUAUAAAACGGUACACUAUAAUUUUUAUUUAACCAACUCUUUAUUGGUGGACAUUAAGAAUGGAGGAAUGUUUCAACAAAGGAACAAUCAACAGUAUCAAAAUACUGCAGAGGGGUCAAUUUGGGGACUAAGAGGGGAGCCACUGGAUUUGACAACUAGGAGAUAAAUUUUAGUGCAACGAUGAAGGCAGAAUCCAGAGUAUAAUGAGCUCAGUGAAAAAAGGUGAAGACAUGUAGCUUAUUCUCUCAAGAAACUAGGCUAUGAUAAACUGGCAGAGGCUCUAAGAGUGGGAGGUGAGUUGUUUUCUCCUUCAUGUAAAUAUAUUUACCUUUUAAACACUAGGCCCAAUUUUAUAUCCUAUUUCAUUUAACUUUAUGAACAUAUUUAUGUAUGUAUGCAUGUAUGUAUGUAUCUCAUGUGAUGUUUUAGACACUGAAAAAUAACUCAUUUCUAUUAUAAAACUGAUAUCUUUAGAUGUUCAGAAGCAACUUCCUAAAAGGAGGUAGCAGUAAUGGAGCUAUGUCUAUCAUUCUUUCCCAUCAACCCCCUUGAUGGAGAUGUAAACAUGUGUCCAUCAAGCCUUUAAUUUUUACCUCUUAUCUUCAUGGCUCUCCAUACAAAACUUAACUCUUUUUUUUUUCUAUUUGUAUACGUAUAUUUAUAUGUAUAUCUAUAUCGAGAGAGAGAGAGAGAGAAAGAGUCUUGCUGUGUUGCCCAGGCUGAUCUCAAACUCCUGGGCUCAAGCAAUCCUCCCACCUUGGCCUCGCAAAGUGCUGGGAUUACAGGCGUGAACCACUGUGCCCAGCCUCAGCCUUAACUCUUAAAAUAUCUUCAAACCAAUAUUCUUCUGUUCUAAUUUUUAAGAAUAGAUGUGUUUAAACCAACUAACUUAUUUUGACAAAAAUUGGAGUUAAGACUCAGACUUCCUCAAAUAGUUCUCCUAAAACCAUUUACAGAAUAAUCUAUCUUUUCAGUAUUAAGUUAAAAUACCACCUUUUCCUUAUACUAAAUUCUCGUUUGCAUGACUCUGGUUCUAAACUUCCAUUGCCUUUAUCUGUCUGGCCCAGGGAUAGUCCACAAUAUUUUAUUUACUAUCUGGUUGAAAGAGUCUAUACUUUAUUACUUUUUAUUACUUAUUCUUCUAAACAAAUUUUAGAGUCGUUUUGUCAAGUGUCAAAAAUAAAUCUGCCAGAAUUUGUACUGAAAUUUGUGUGUGUGUAUAUAUAUAAUACACACACACUAUAUAUAAAAUAUAAAAUGUAUAUAUACAAUUUAUAUAUAUAAAUAUUUAUAAAAUAUGAAAUAUAUAUAUAUAUACACACACACUUUUCUAGUUCUUUUUUUUUUUUUUUGAGACAGGGUCUCACUCUGUCACCUAGGCUGGAGUUCAGAGGCAUGAUCUCGGCUCACUGCAACCUCUGCCUCCCAGGCUCAAGUGCUCCUCCCACCUCAGCCUCAGAAGUAGUUGGAAAUACAAGUGUGUGCCACAGACACCCAGCUAAUUGUCAUCUACCCGCCUCAGCUUCCCAAACUGUUUGGAUUACAGGUAUGAGCCACUGUGCCCAGCAGAAAUUACAUUUACAAAUUAAUAUGAAGACAUGGUGAUAACUAACAUAUUUAUAACAUGAAAUCUGCUCAUCCAGGAACAUAGAAUGCAAAUCUUUCAUUCCACUCAGCAAAAUUUUGUCCUGUCCUUGAUAAAAGUCCUGCACAUCUAAGUUUAUUCCUAGGUAUUUAAUUUUUGCUGAAAUACCUGAAAAAAUACUUCAUCACUAUAUCUUCUAUGUGAUUAUAGCUAACACUGGGGAAGGCUAUUGAUUUUUAUAUAAAAGAACUUUUAACCAGUAAUCUUAAAAAUUGUUUUUCUCAGUUGGUUCCUUUGGAUAUUUUUAGGUAAACAAUCAUGUCAACUGAAAAUAAUGAUAAAUUUUCUAUAAAGACUAUGACAUCACAGGAAAAUACAGUAAAUACUUUUUAAAAGAAUAUAAAAGGGCCAGGCACAGUGGCUCACGCCUGUAAUCCCAGCACUUUGGGAGGCCAAGGUGGGCAGACCAUGAGGUCAGGAGAUCGAGACCAUCCUGGCUAACACGGUGAAACCCCAUCUCUACUAAAAAAUACAAAAAAUUAGCCGGGAAUGGUGGCGGGCGCCUGUAGUCCCAGCUACUGGGGAGGCUGAGGCAGGAGAAUGGUGGGAACCCAGGAGGUGGAGCUUGCAGUGAGCCGAGAUCACGGCACUGCACUCCAGCCUGGGUGACAGAGCAAGACUCUGUCUCAAAAAAAAAAAAAAAAAAAAAAAAAAAAAAAAAAAAAA
ensembl:lncRNA novel transcript